ACUCCUACGGGAGGCAGCAGUGGGGAAUAUUGCACAAUGGGCGCAAGCCUGAUGCAGCCAUGCCGCGUGUGUGAAGAAGGCCUUCGGGUUGUAAAGCACUUUCAGUUGUGAGGAAAGGUUGAGUCGCUAAUAUCGGUACUAGCUGUGACGUUUAGCAACAGAAGAGCACCGGCUAACUCCGUGCCAGCAGCCGCGGUAAUACGGAGGGUGCGAGCGUUAAUCGGAAUUACUGGGCGUAAAGCGCAUGCAGGUGGUUUGUUAAGUCAGAUGUGAAAGCCCGGGGCUCAACCUCGGAAUUGCAUUUGAAACUGGC
rnacentral:rRNA from 1 species